CAAAAGUGGCCGGAUCUAGGAUGGAGACCUGAGGAACUAGGGAUGAUGUGACAAAUGCAUCUGUCUGACCUAAGAUGAAAUGGAGACAGAAAUAUGCAAACAGGCACAUUUUAAAACCGUGUUGGAAGAAGAUCAACAUGGGAAGACUUGUACAACCUGAGCCUGAGAUCUCUCAUACAACUAAAAUAUUCAAGAUAGUGAAAGAUUAGUGUAUGGACACUUAUUAAGAUCUGUCAAACAAAUGUGGAAUCCAGAAAUAGACAAACAAAUUAUAUGGCCAAUUGCUUUUUGAUGAAGAAACCAAGUUAUCUUACUUCAUCCCCUACUGGGAAAACAUGAACUUUGACAUCUAACAUGAUUCACCAAAAUUAACUCAAAAUGUAUCCUACACCUAAAUAUAAAAACUAAGAUGAUAAAAUUGAAAAAGAAGACAGGAGAAAAAUCACCUGUGACUUUGGAUAGACAAAGGCUUCUUAGAUACACAGUCUGUGGUGACCUCUGGUUGUAAUGCACUUCUUGAUUACUCCCAGGUUCUGCCUUCCAGAGGUUUCAUUGCUUUCCAAUAGUGCCUAAGCUGAAACCAGGUCUACAACAUAUGAGACUUUGGGAUACUCUGAGGAUCCAAAUGAUAACACCUG